AGCAGCCGCGGUAAUUCCAGCUCCAAUAGCGUAUAUUAAAGUUGUCGCAGUUAAAAAGCUCGUAGUUGAAUUUCGGAAUUUGUCGGUUGGUCGGGCUUCACUGUCCGCACUGGCCUGAUGGAUUCCUACCUUCUGAACAACCAGCAUGCUAUUAAGUUAGUGCGUUGGGGAAGCAGAGCUAUUACCUUGAAAAAUUAGAGUGCUUAAAGCAGGCUUGUGCUUGAAUAGACUAGCAUGGAAUAAUAAAAUAGGACGGCAUGGUUCUAUUUUGUUGGUUUCUAGGAUCACCGUAAUGAUUAAUAAGGAUAGUUGGGGGCAUUAGUAUUCAAUUGUCAGAGGUGAAAUUCUUGGAUUUAUUGAAGACUAACUUCUGCGAAAGCAUUUGCCAAGGAUGUUUUCAUUAAUCAAGAACGAAAGUUAGGGGAUCGAAGACGAUCAGAUACCGUCGUAGUCUUAACCAUAAACUAUGCCGACUAGGGAUCGGACGAUGUUAAUUUUAAUGACUCGUUCGGUCG
rnacentral:rRNA from 1 species